rnacentral:lncRNA from 1 species
GCUACCCUUUCUGCAGCCCUAUACUCCUCUAUCUGGGUCAUGUACAGCUCCAAAUUUGGCCCCUCCAUCGUACUCUCAUUACUCAUAAAAGGCCUCGUCCUCACACAGUUGCCUCCCUUGUUCCAUAACCCAUUUUCAAAGUGUGCAGGCGAAAAGGUUCGAAGAAUCGUCAUGCCCUUGAAGUUUUUGUUGCUGUUAAUGGCUUUGAACACUGUUCUGAAAGCCUUUCGAUAGCCGUAGUAAACUGUGAGGUCGGUGACAUUUUCUUGGAGGCAGUAGUAGCAGCCGGAUACCCGGCGGUUCUCGUAGAACAUGGUUGGACGGUAGAACCAUUGGCCAGCAGAGAUGAUAAGGUAGUCAAAUUCCUCCAUCUGAUUUGUCCAUGCCUCAUCCAACUCAUCAAGAUAGAGGUUGAAGAGACCGGUCUGGGUUGGACCACCUGGGUCUGCUAAUUUGGUUUUUAUCAGAAAGGGUGUCCAGAAACUGGCCAUGGUGAAGUUGUAGUCCGUGUACCUCCACCUUUUGAAAUUUUCGUCUGUUGUGUAUGAAACAUCAAUGGGGUAUACUACCUGAACCAGCAAGGAAAAUGUAGUACUGUAAGAAAGGAAAAUUACCCAAGAUUGAAAGAUAUUAUAAUAUUCACACUCAUGGACAGUCACGGACCCAGUACCAAAACGACAUGAAGUUUUCUUUUGAAGGUGUAACUUUACUUUAUUGCAUCUCAGAAAAGAAAAAAAGUUGAAAAAGGAACAUCUUUUUUUCUGUGUAAAAGAACACAUACAGAUCAAUUAUUUCUUAUAUUCCUGUACAAGGAAGAUAAAAUAUCACACUCUCUCUGUUGGGUGUCCCACCUCAACGUCAGUGAUAUUAUCUUUAAAUAAAUAUAAUGAGCGCAUAGUGGUUGGGGGGUUUCAGCCACCAAAUCUGUGUAAGGAGGACAAUUGCUUUUGAUAAGGAUUUAGAAAAAGGAGCAGAUAAAAAAGGAGGGGGCCAUGUUAUUGCUAGCUAAGCUUAGAUUCCCUAAAGCUUGUCGUGAAGUUCAAUGCAGAUAUACGUGAGUGAAGGAGGUAGCCCGGAAAGGAGCAAUCAUACCUCAACUAACUUGACUUUUCUGCAAAAAUAGUCGAAUUUUCAAAAGAACAAUCUGACAAAACAUAAGCUGGCAAAACGUCUACUUUCAAUUUUGGGCUGGGUCUUCCUUCGUUAUCAAAAACAUUGUGUGUGUGUUUGUGUUUGUGUGUGGGCUUCCCCCUUCUUUUGUUACAAAUUCUACUAUCAUAUGAUGGCAUCCGGCUGUCCUACACCAAAUGUGUGCAUACCAUAUCAAGCCUGUCCAAAACUAAAUCAGUGCAGAUGAUGGAAAACAUCAUCACUUCUACUAUGAACCACAUAGAUGUUGAUUGGUGACCCCCUUUCAAUUUUCAUCCUCUACCGUUACUUUAUCAAACUUCUUAAGGUGUCAGAAAAUCAAACAAUAUUCAAUUGGUGCAAAUAAAAUGUGAAGCACAUCUUCACAAGAAUUAAAAAUUCCACCGGGUAAAUCAUAGGUUUCGCCGCCAUGCCCCCUUUUAAAAAGAAUGAUAAUAAUAAUUUUUUGGGUUAUUGUUAAAAAUAAUAUUAUGAAAAGAAGGGGACUUAAUUUAACCCAAAAAAGAAAGAGUCAGAACAAACUUUCACUCUUCCACAUGUGGUACGCCACCUACUUUACUCUAAUAAAAAUAAGUUAGCCAUCGUUUUCAGAUUCAGAACUGACGACUAGGCUUUUAUUAAAUUAUUUAAGGAAGAGUCUGUCGGCUUGCGUAAUACAAACUCCAUAAUAAAAAUGGUUUUGAAAAUUUGAAUUUCAAACAAAUUCUUUUGUAAAAAGGAUGUAAGUAUUAUUUGUAUGCAUGCUGCUGCAUGGAAAAUUCAAAUGGCUCCAAUUAUUACUUGCCAUGUGAGAUUCUACGUGGCAAGCCUAUGCCACCCCAACUGAAAAUUCUUAUGUUUGAAAGGCAAAUAACUCAUUAGCACAGUAAUGGCAAGGUAUUGUAUUAGGUGAUGAUGAAAGAUUUUACCUAAACCUUGAAUUUUGUGGUUAACUAAUCUUGGCUUGACCAAAUCAAUUUAAACUGGAAAUGGGGGAGAGAGUAGUUGAUUAAGGAUCAAAACCUAUAAAAUAUGGGACAUAGUUUAAAAUAGUGAUUUUAAAAAAUAAAAAUAAAAAGCAUGACCAAGUAAUUUUGAGAUAGUAAAAUUAUAUGAAUAAAGAUAAUGUUUGAAAGCGCAGAAGGGCAUACCCUGGAUAAGAGGCACAUCAAGGACUGCAUAUGGUUUCUGGCCACAGAAUCCCCAACAAAGGCCAAGGUCUUAUCUCUCAUGAGUUCUAGGAACUGGGCUGGGUUGAAGAUGGGUAGCUCGCACCCAUCUGGUUUCCAUCUCCAUUUCAUGAAGUCCAGGUCUGGCCUUCCGUAUUUCAUGCAGUUUUGAUGCUCGUGGAUCGCCCAACAGGUCGUGUUGGUGUAGUAUGGCGCCUUGGGAUUCCGAAUCCAUUCUCCAGAGAAUAUGUCGCACUUCUUCACUGUUGGUUCUUCUACCCUUAUGGGGUCAUCCUCCAAUGGAGUAUUGACAUGUGAAGAGGAUGGUUGACUUGAAAAAGAAGAAGAAGAAGGGGAAGAGGAGGAAGAAGAAGAAGAAAUAUUUUUCAAAAGAAAUAAAGGGUACCCUAGCAAAGG